UUUGGCUGCUGUUAGUACUGCUCACUCAGUGUUGUUUCAAACCACUGCUGUUGUUUGCAGGGAUAGCCAAAGAAAUGGCCAUGAAUGGAAUAUCUCCAGAGGUUGCCUCAUUCAGACUCUGAGCAUAAUAGCUUAAGUAUUUACUUCAGAUUUUGGAGAAGAGGAAAAAGCAUAGCAGGAGAACAUCAGCAGAUGUGUGAGAAGGACAAUUACAGGGCAUCUGGAUAGAGAGAGAAAAAAACUAGCUGUCACAAUAAGCAGGUCUAGCAACAUUGUGCUGUCCUCUCAACUUCACACAAGUAUCUUAUGUAAAAUGGCUUGAUAUUAUGAUGCUCACAGCUAAUAAGAGCUUGUUCAUUCCCAUUUGGGGUUUGGGGUU
rnacentral:lncRNA from 1 species